UACGUAGGGGGCGAGCGUUGUCCGGAUUUAUUGGGCGUAAAGAGCUCGUAGGCGGUUUGUCGCGUCUGCUGUGAAAACUCGAGGCUCAACCUCGGGCUUGCAGUGGGUACGGGCAGACUAGAGUGCGGUAGGGGAGACUGGAAUUCCUGGUGUAGCGGUGGAAUGCGCAGAUAUCAGGAGGAACACCGAUGGCGAAGGCAGGUCUCUGGGCCGCAACUGACGCUGAGGAGCGAAAGCAUGGGGAGCGAACAGG
rnacentral:rRNA from 1 species